GAAGCCCCUGCAUACUGACCUCCCAACUUUGACCUUGAAAAGGACCUUAGCAAACCUUAGAAAUCAGAAUCAACAUUCAAAAUGAUCUGGACACUGGCUUGAACACUGGAUCAAAACAAACAAGAUGAAGUUCAGCAGAGACAAAUGUAAACUUCUGCAUUUAGGAGACACCAAAGAGCAAUUACUGCAGCAGACAGAAAGGAAAGUGAAGGGAACAUUGGAGCUUGUUCUUGGCAUAUGACUAUCUGUUGUGACUGUCAGCGACACUCUGAGAUUCCCAAGAGAGGUCUUUCCCACUCGGCCACCUGAGAUCCUUUUAACUGCUGAUGUCAUCGCUGGAAGAACCUGGGACUUUCUGCAUUCAAAGCAUGUGCACUACCAUUGACCUAUCCUUUGGAUAGCUGCCAAAGUCUAUAAACAAGUUACACCUUUGUCUCCGCUUCUCACAGUUUAUAUCAAAUCAGUUACCACUUUUAA